AGCUAAGUGGCCUAGUGGAAAGAGCACAGGCCCUGAGAGUCAGAGGCCCUGGGUUUUAAUUCCAGCUCAGCUG
rnacentral:tRNA from 1 species